rnacentral:misc_RNA from 1 species
GAUGAAGAACGUAGCGAAAUGCGAUAAGUAGUGUGAAUUGCAGAAUUCAGUGAAUCAUCGAAUCUUUGAACGCACAUUGCGCCUUCUAGUAUUCUGGGAGGCAUGCCUGUUUGAGCGUCAUUAAACCUCUCUCAAGUAUGAUUACUUGGAUGUGAAGGAAGAGUACCUUAAACUUAAGGAGUGUUCUCCUUUGAAAUUGAUUAGCAGAUGGUAAUGUUAUUAAAUCCCUGAUGUUGUAAGAAAUAACAGUGGUUUUGUAGACUAUUAUCUAGCUUUAAAUUAUAAUUUUUAUUAUGGUUGACCUCAAAUCGGGUAAGGAUACCCGCUGAACUUAAGCAUAUCAAUAAGCGGAGGA